GACGAACGCUGGCGGCGUGCUUAACACAUGCAAGUCGAACGGAAAGGCCCAGCUUGCUGGGUACUCGAGUGGCGAACGGGUGAGUAACACGUGGGUGACCUGCCUCAUACUCUGGGAUAAGCCUGGGAAACUGGGUCUAAUACUGGAUAGGACCUUUUGUUGCAUGACUUUAGGUGGAAAGCUUUUGCGGUAUGAGAUGGGCCCGCGGCCUAUCAGCUUGUUGGUGAGGUAAUGGCUCACCAAGGCGACGAUCGGUAGCUGGUCUGAGAGGAUGAUCAGCCACACUGGGACUGAGACACGGCCCAGACUCCUACGGGAGGCAGCAGUGGGGAAUAUUGGACAAUGGGCGAAAGCCUGAUCCAGCCAUGCCGCGUGAGUGAUGAAGGCCCUAGGGUUGUAAAGCUCUUUCGCCAGGGACGAUAAUGACGGUACCUGGAUAAGAAGCCCCGGCUAACUCGUGCCAGCAGCCGCGGUAAUGUC
rnacentral:rRNA from 1 species